AUGGGUGAGCGCAGCAAGAUGGCACCACAGUCCCAACUCCUCGUCUUCCUGGUGCUCUGGGUAUCAGGUGCCUGUGGGGACAUUGUGAUGGCCCAAUCUCUGGACAACCCGGCUGUGUCUGUAGGAGAGAGGGUCACCAUCAGCUGCAAAUCUAGCCAGAGUCUUUUAUCCAGUUCCAAUAAUAAAAACUACUUAGCCUGGUACCAGCAGAAACCAGGGCAGGCUCCAAAGCUGCUCAUCUACUGGGCAUCCACACAGGCAUUUGGAGUCCCAGAUCGAUUCAGUGGCAGUGGGUCUGGGACAGAUUUCACUCUCACCAUCAGCAGCCUC